CGUGCUUAACACAUGCAAGUCGAACGAACCUUCGGGUUAGUGGCGGACGGGUGAGUAACGCGUGGGAAUCUGCCCUCAGGAGGGGGAUAACGGCUGGAAACGGCCGCUAAUACCCCAUAUGCCGAGAGGUGAAAUGAAUUUCGCCUGAGGAUGAGCCCGCGUCUGAUUAGCUAGUUGGUGAGGUAAGAGCUCACCAAGGCAUCGAUCAGUAGCUGGUCUGAGAGGAUGAUCAGCCACACUGGGACUGAGACACGGCCCAGACUCCUACGGGAGGCAGCAGUGGGGAAUUUUCCGCAAUGGGCGAAAGCCUGACGGAGCAACGCCGCGUGAGGGAUGAAGGCCUCUGGGCUGUAAACCUCUUUUCUCAAGGAAGAAGAUCUGA
rnacentral:rRNA from 1 species